rnacentral:lncRNA from 1 species
AAAACAAUACUGAUAAAAUUUACAAUCUGAUAAAACUAAAGAGAGAACUGAAAUUACAUGACUGACUCUGAUUGACAUCUAUGAAGCCUCUAUUAUACUGACUAUAGAUAGCUGGAACAUGAAUCCAGCUACCACUAAUCAAUACAUAUGAGUAAUAAAGUAAAGUACAUGAAUAACAUCUGAAUGAAGUCCCCAAAAUAGGAGAGCUCAUCACCUGUUAGCUGGAACUGCAACUGUCUGAUCAUGGUGUGUGGACUAUAACGGGUACCUACAUUAUGAAACAAUAUAUCCACACAAAUAUAUAUGUGGAUCAAUACUUUUGAAACGUACUUAGUAAGCGGGGGUGAAUGCAAUAAGUAAAAACUGAUUUAUACGUAAUCUUAGAACAUGUAUGCUAAGUAUAAGUAGACUCACUAAGAGAUUGAAAUAAAUUGAAAGCUGAAAUAUCUUAAAACAUGAGCAACAAACAUAAUCUGAUAAGCUGGUGAAUCACUACACUUAGUUUCUUAGAACUUUACUUUUAUAAUAUAAGUAGAAUUUAAGCUGGAAGACAGUAAAACAUGGGUACUAUGUGAAUACUGGGUCUGAAACUACGAAGUGGAAAUCCACAUAACUCAAGGAUCUCAAUACACAAAUAUACUGAGCAUGAAUGCAUGAAAACUAUGAUAUCCGAGAAUGCAAGACUAAGUGUAUAUCUGUUAUGUCACUGAGAUCAAUCCAAAAUCUAAAAGACUGAAAGAUAUAAAAUCUGAGAAUGCAUGACCAAACAUAUAACAUGAUUCUAAAAUAGUCUGUAAAAUGAAAUACUAAAAUUUGGUAGCUGAAUGACUGAUGAACUGUAUGCUAUGGUCAAACCUGAACUGAAUUCUAUAAUGAAUACUGAACUGAGACUAUGGGAGGUAUCAUCUAACCAAUAUGCCUCACUUUGAGUUAAGUGGUGUCCAACCUAUAACCCAGUUGGCAGGGUGUCAGCACCGUACCACGGGUACUAACAAUAGAUGUGUGGAUCCACUAAACUAAUGUCCUGAUGGACUAAUGAGUCACUGUCAUCUGGAAGGUGCUCUAAUGAGAUACGUGUUACCCUCAACUGACAGGUAAACACUUUAUCAACCCUCAUCUGGAAGGUUGAUAUCUCUAAUCUACGAUAGCUACAUAGUGCUAGAACUCAGGAACUGCUAUGAAAGGUCACACCCUCUACUGCCAUGUGAGCUCCCAUCCCUGAAUUCGUUGGGAGCUAAAUCCUACUCCCAAUUGAAUGAAACUGAUUACUGAACUGAACUAAGCUUAACUGAGCAAACUAUUGAUCAUGAUAACUAAUGUCCUUAACAUCAAGUAAAACUGGAACUUUCAUUAUAAAGGAGAUAAUCUGAAUAUGGGAAUAAAAUCAUGAUUCUGUCUAACUUGUUACUUGAAAAAGAAAAUCAUAUAAAACACAUAGGUAUCGGGUGCUCAUAACCCACCCGCACUGAAUGAGUACAAAAUACGAUAUCAAUCUUGAAACACUAAAAUAAGUGAUUAUGGUUCAAAGAUCCUAACAUGGGCAAUUCAUCAAACACAAAGGGAUCAUGAACUUGAACAUGGGAAUAUGAUGUACAUAUGAAUACAACAUGGGUGCAUGACUAAUUUCAUAAGUUGGGAAUUUAACACGAAAUCAAUGGGAUAGGACACAGAAACAUGCAACUCAAAGAAUAGAUAGAUUAAUUCACUUGGAAACACUUGUAGAUAUGGGAAAGUUCAUAACUCAAUAUUAUAACAUGAAAUUCAAUUGGAUACGUCAUGGGAAUCGAAACUUAAAGCAUGAGAUAACCUAACUUUUCAUAAAAACAUCCUUGGACAUGAAUUUAGUCAAAUUACAAAGGAAAUCCUGAUUUAAAUUCAUCUUGAACACAUGAUACUUUAUAAACAAAAGGAAAAGUUCAUAUCUUUAAUUAAAGAAAAGUUUUUUGGGCUCCAUGGGUGAAAGAGGACCCAUGGAUGAACUCCCACAUACCUUAAGCCCUUAUCUUUGGAAGGAAUCAUCAUUCCUGAAGCUUUCUUGAAGGUUCUUGAACUUGGAAAACUUGAAUUGUUGGUUUCUUUAGAGAGAAAGUAAUGAAAUUGAUGUUCUUGGGAGAUGAUUAGGGUUUCUCUGAGAGGAGAAUUGGAGAAGAAGGACAAUUAUAACCUAAAAUAUACCUCAAAUCGUGUUAUGGAUGACGAGGUUGAGGGGAAAAGACACAAUUUCUCCUUAGGCAAUUAAAUUCGUAGUUGGAAUAUGGUUAACAGGGUCACCGCAAUGCGGUCUUAUCGCAAUGACUUACUGGUUUUGACGAAAUUGAUCAUAAUUUUUCGCUCGAGUAUUGGAUUAAGGCAAAAUUGGUAUUGUUGGACAGAUAAUUCAAUUAUAUACAAUUUAGUGAGUAUUGAGCUGAAAAAAUCCACGUAUAUAAAAAGUUAUACACAUUCAAAGUUGACUCUUAUAAAAUCAAAUACCAAACUUUGGACAAAUCAAAGGCUCUUAGCUUAACUCUGUUCUAUGUGAUUCCUAUGAACAUUCUUUACCUCAUAAGAACUUCACACACUAGGAUAAAGAUCAUGACACAUGCAUUCAAUUAUAAAUCAAGAACUGGCGAAAAAUACCUUUACCACGAUGCGAUGUACGUGCCAAAUAAAAUAUCACCGUGACGCAACCCUAUCGCGGUGACUUGCUGAAUUCGUGAUCCAAACGUGUCCCAAACCUUGUCCGAAAAAUUAAAAACUCCCCCAAGACAUACUUCUUAAAUCCUUGAACAUGAAUUAACUCAAAAACUAAUGUCUCGGGGUCGGAAAGACCAAAAUGAAAAUCAUCAAUGUUUAGGAGUCUUGAAAAUGAAUAAGUCCCCAACACUUCGUGAAAAUUUCAAGACAUAAGCCCCUUAAGCAUGCAACUAAGAGAUGAAUCAAGCUAGGAUAAGUAUUCUAGUAGCUUUAAAUGUAAAAACAGAGAGGCUAUAGUAUUUUUGGUAUAAAUAAGGGAAUGGAGAGAAGUGAAUAUCUGUUUUACUAUCACCUGUGAUGAAGUGACAUAUACAAUAUAUAAAAAUACACAUAAGCAACAACAUAUGGGAACACAUUAGUUUUGAUUGAUAUAAUAUUAGUGUUGGGUACUAUAUAGUUUUGAUGAUUGACAAACUGACACAUGAAUGUAACAUAUUACUUGAGUUGGUCCAUGCAUAGGAAAGCAGGUUUUCAGUUUAACUGAUAGAUGCAGACAAAAUUGCUUAAAGACAAGAACGAAUAAGAAAGCCUAAUUCUAAUAUACUCAAGCUACUGAUCAUGUGGGGAAUAUAACAAGUUGAAUUUGAUUCAAACACUUAAUGAUAAGGUAAAGCAAUUUGAGUUGAAAAAGGAGUCCUACGUGAAGAAGGAGUUUCACUUCUGAGUCUAUCUUGAAGAGUCCUAUGUGUGGGAGGAGAAAGAUCCUGAUAAAUAAGCAUAUGGUGAUUUAAAAAAUUUGGAGUUUUACUACAACACUAAGGAGACAGGAGUUGGAAUAAAAGAAAGAGUCUCACUUGAAGUAGAACUCUAUGUAAUGAGAGUUUUGAUUAAAGGAGGAGUUUAAAAUAAAGAAUGACUUUUUGGAGAGCUGUGCUUAAAUAGAAGAUGCAUCAUUCAGAGUAAUUCACACACUUACAAAAAAAGUAAAAAAGCACAAUCGAUAGAUUGACUUCACGAAGUGCUACUUUAUCACUGAAGAAACAUAUUACAGAACCUGGUCCUAAGUAUAGAAUUCAUCUAAGAGUUUUAGAUUUGAUUUAAAGAGUUGCUCAUUGUGUUUGAGCUAUUAAUGUAAUAUUAGUUUUAGUGUGUUAUAAACUGAAUUAGGAGAUAGUCUUCGAGUUGGGGAAAACUCAAAGACUUUGGAAACGCAUACCUUGGGAGGUGUGUGUGUAUUUAGGAAUUAGAGUUUAUAAUUCCUAGUUGUUGAGUUAAAGGAAUUAGAGUUUAUAAUUCCGAGUUGUUGAGUUAUAGGGAUUAGAGUUUAUAAUUCCUAUUUGUUAGUUACAAGAGUUUUGUAAUCAGUCGUUGUUGAGGCUCAGAGUUAUUUAGUGAAGUUGGGGUUAAAUCAUGUAGAGGUGCAUGUCGUGGUUUUUUACACCUUUUGACCCGGGCGUCUUCCACGUAAAAAUCAUUGUGUUCUAUACUUUCUGUUUUACUACUUCUUUGGAACAUGUAUGUGGAAUACGUAAGGCAACCCGUUCCAUCGAUAAGCAAGAGUUAGGCGAAAAUAAGAUAAUCAGUAGGGCACAAACUCUAACAAGUGGUAUCAGAGAGAGGUUGUCUUAAAAAGGGCUAGCACCUAAGACAAAGAUCAAUAUGAUGAAUUCCGCACCACCUACUGGUCACAGUGAAGGUUAAUCCACUAUUAGACCUCCACUCUUUGAUGGUUCUCACUUCAUUUGGUUGAAAGCUUGGAUGGAAACAUUCAUUCAAGGGAAAUACUACGAGUUAUGGGAUAGGAUCACUGAUGGUCCUACUAUUCCAAUGAAGUUAGAAUAUGUGAAAUAGGUCAAGAAAGUAAGAAGUGAAUUCACUCUUGAUGACUUAUUGGCAUUAAAGAAAAAUGCUAAGGCCAAAAAUAUUUUGGUCUGUGGAUUAGGACCUGCUAAAUACAACAGGGUAUCAAUAUACACCACUGCUAAGCAAAUUUGGGAUGCUCUAGUAAAUGCUCAUGAAGGCAGAUCUCAAGUAAGAAAAUUUAGAAUUUCUCUUCUCUUCACUGAGUAUGAGGCAUUUAAGAUGAAGGAGAAUGAAACCUUGUAUGAGAUGAUGACAAGGCUUACUACCUUAACAAAUGAGCUGACCUCCUUAGGAAAAGCUAUAUCUGAAGAAGAACAAGUCGAAAAGGUACUGAGGGUAUUACCAAAAUCAAAGUGGAAUGUUAAGGUAACUGCAAUCAGGGAAGCAAAUAUGGAUCUUAUAGGCAUGACCCUAGAUGAAUUAGUGGGGAAUUUAAGAACUUAUGAAAUAGAAAUUGAUGGAACUAAAGUGCUAUAAUCCCCAGAGAAUACCUUAGCUCUGAAGGCAUCUUACAGUGAUGAAGAAAUUAAACUUGAUAAAGAAUAAGUUGCCUUUAUAGCUAAGAACUUCAGCAAAUUCUUCAAAAAGAAGAAGGGAAUAGGUAGCAAGAAAUGGUUAAAUGAAAAUCUAAAUGGAUGCUACAAGUGUGAUAAGACUGAUCAUUAUAUCAUGGAUUGUCCUGUCUGGGAAAUAGAAUGGAGAAAGAAAAAGAAUGAAAAGGAACUGAAAGAAAAAAAAAGAGGGAAGAAUAUGCAAUGGUAGAAGCUUGGGGAUUUGACUUAGAUGAUGAUGAAGUUGAUGAAGUAGCACUCAUGGCUCUUGGAGAUUCAGACUUGGAGGAAGAAGAUGAUGCUUCUAAGGUAAGUAUACUUGAACUUAAAGAAAAGUUGCAUUUAUUUUCUAAAAUAAAACUUAUUUCCUUGAUGAGUGCACUAAUUGAUGACUUCCAAGAAUUAAUUUCUGUUAGAGAUGAGCUGUUCAAUAUUCUUGCAAGAAUCAAAUUUGAUUUUAUUGAUGUAGAAGCUUGCAAGAACAUUGUUGAACAGGAAAACUGCUCUCUCAAGAAAUAGGUUGAGCAACUUGAUUCUUUAAAUAAUGAUCUUAAGUUUGAAGUUCUAAAAUUGACACUCUCUGAAAAAUGAAAAAACACCAAGAGUAAACAACAAGAAAAAGUUGAACUUAAAUUGGUAUGCAAUAAUGCAACAGAAUGGUGAAUAAACUGAGUCAAGAAGUCUCUAAACUAAAACUUGACCUUGAAAGAGCAAACAGGUGGACAAAUUCCUGAAGAAUUAUUCAUAAGUUGAGUGAAAGAUAUCACAGUGAAAAAGCUGGUUUGGGUUUUCACAAAAGUCUUGAUGUUUAUCAAGACAUGCUAUAUCUGUGGAAACCUUGGACAUCUAACCAGUAAAUGUCCAGUUGCUGCCAAAAGCAGAUCCAACAGCCUAAAUCUGGCAAAUAAACUAUUUCAGACCAAGAAAAGGAUAACUAAACCUGGUCAGAGAAACAUGUCACGUAACCUGUUGCCUGCAUGGGCUAGAAGAAAUUUGAUUCAUUCAUUUACUCAUAAGAAAGGAACCAAGCUUAUCUGGGUGCCUAAAGUUAACCCCUAAUUUAUCUUGCAGGUGAGAGUGAAAGGAUGCAAGCAAAAUUUGUACAUAAAUAAAGUUUGCUCAAGGCAUAAGACUAGAAGAAAAUAAAGUUUCUUUCACUCACCACAUUUAAAGAGGGAAUGGAUUAUUUGAAAGAUGGCCAGAUUUGUAGUGCUCAUGUAAGGAGGAAGCAAGGGAGAUUUUAAAAAAAAUGAAAAAGAGGAUGACUGUGAAACUGAUGAGCAUGCACAGGAACAUGUUGUUCCACUUGGUUCAACUAUUGUACAGACUGAGGGCAUAUUAACGGAGAAACAACAAAUCAAGAGAUUUAUGCAUCAAUAACACUAACACAAGCUGAUGAUAAUUUUGUUGGUAAUUUAUAAGAAUUGGUGUUGUCACAAGAAUGUUGAGAUAUCUCAUGGGAAUCAAUGGCUUGAGACUUUGGUAUUCAAAUGAAAGUAAUUUCACUCUUGAGGGCUGUAAAAUUAUUGACUAUGUGGGUUACUUAAUUGACUGGAGAAGCACCAAAGGCACUAAGUAGAGAACAGUUUGAAAGGAAUAGAUUAGACUUGGGGAUGAUUAAAAUUGCAUGAACUCCCCUCAAUGAUUGACUAGAAUAAUCAUUUUUCUUCUUAAUCUUAUUAGCUCAAAAGUUAUUCUAUUCAGUCUUGCACAUUUAGUUGUGUGUCCCAAUUCUUGAUUUUUGACUUUUCUAACCUCAUUUUGUAUUAGAUUGUGCAGAAAAAUAGGUAAAAGCAAGCAAUUAUGACUACAAAGUUCUUCUUAUCAGGUAUGUUCUACACUGACAUAAGCAUAGGCUAUCCAAGUUGAAACAGUUGAGCACAUCUGUCCAAUUCCACACACUUCAUCCUCUCAUUGUCUAAUAAAUCUAAUGAAUUGGUUGACCAAAAUUUGUUUGAUUCUCUCCAAAUGGGUGUGUACAAAUGUGUUAAUCUUAUAACAAAAAUUCCUUCUUCUUUCUCAACUAAAAUAUCAGUUGUUUACUAUGGAUUUUCUAAGCUAGAUCAUCAAUCACAUGAAACAUAUGUUUCUAAAGAAUGAAAAGGGAUAUUAUUUCCCUUUUAGUUCCUAAUUGGUUAUUUUUUUUAGGAAUUUUCAGUCCUAAAUUAGGUUUGAAUUAUAAAAAAAUAGAUGUUCUUGAACAGAUGAAAUAUGUUGCUCUACCUAUUUCAAUAAGGAGGGCUAACACUUAUUUGAAAUAAAAAAUCUGAACUAGAAGCUGUACAAGACAGUCAUGAAGUGGAAUAAGAGGUCCUUAAGGAUAGGAUCAUGACCUUGAAGCUUGACCUUGAUUGAUAGAGGGAUGAAAAUGUUGAAGUCAUUCAUCAAUUGACACAGUUGAUAUCACCUGUUCCACCUUCCUCAUCAGCUCCUCACUAUUUAUAUCCUUAGCCGUGUCCCAUUUUUAUACCAUAUUUUUUAAUGCUCAAUUAUUUUGCUCUGUUUAAUACUAGCUUAGGUUUAAUGUGGAACAUGCUCUGUCUGUUAAAUGAAAUGGUUAUCUUUGCUAAAUUGACUCAUUUUUGCUCUCUUUAAUACAUUACUAUGUUGGCUAGAGUCUUUGCCUGAUUGUUUUGGUGAUAGCCCCAGUGGUCAUGAAUAGCAUAACAAAUCACUUUGGCUAGUAUAUUAUUUUAUUGAAAUAGUUUUUCGAUGAUGCCAAAAGGGGAAAGAUAAUAGGAUUGUGCAAUGUUUAUAACCCAUUACUAACUUGUUUCAUUUUAGUGUUUUAUACUUUAGUGCCUACAGGUGAAAAUGGUUAAAUGCACAAGAAAGGAGGUUUGUCAUCAUCAAAAAGGGGGAAUUUGUUGGGUACUAUAUAGUUUUGAUGAUUAAGAAACUGACACAUCAAUGAAACAUGUUACUUGAGUUGGUCUACAAAUAGGAAAGCAGAUUUCCAGUUUCACUGAUAGAUGCAAAUAAGAUUGCUUAAAAAUAAGAACGAAUAAGAAAUGCUAAUUCUGAUAUACUGAAGCUACUGAUCAUGUGGGGAAUAUAACAAGUUGAAUUUGAUUCAAACACUUAAUGAUAAGGGAAAACAAUUUGAGUUGAAAAAGGAGUCCUACGUGAAGAAGGAGUUUCACUUCUGAGUAUAUCUUGAAGAGUCCUAUGUGUGGGAGGAGAAAGAUUCUGAUAAAUAAGUAUGUGCUAAUUCAAAAGAGUUGGAGUUUUACUACAACACUAAGGAGACAAGAGUUGGAAUUAAAGAAAGACUUACUUGAAGUAGAACUCUAUGUAAUGAGAGUUUUGAUUAAAGGAGGAAUUUAAAAUAAAGAAUGACUCUUUGGAGAGCUGUGCUCAAAUAGAAGAUGCAUAAUUCAUAGUAAUUCACACAUUUACAAAAAAAGCAAAAAGCACAAUCGAUAGAUUGACUUCACGAAGUGCUACUCAAUCACUGAAGAAACACAUUGAAGAACCUGGUCCUAAGUAUAUAAUUCAGCUAAGAGUUUUAGCUUUGAUUUUUAGAGUUGUUCAUUGUAUUUGAGCUAUUGAUGUAAUAUUAGUUUUAGCGUGUUGUAAACUGAAUUAGGAGAUAGUCUUUGAGUUGGGAAAAACUCAAAGACUUUGCGAAAGCAUACCUUGGGAGGUGUCUGUGUAGUUAGGAAUUAGAGUUUAUAAUUCCUAGUUGAGUCAAAGGAAUUAGAGAUUAUAAUUCCUAGUUGUUGAGUUAUAGGGAUUAGAGUUUAUAAUUCCUACUUGUUGGUUACAAGAGUUGUGUAAUCACUCGUUGUUGAGGCUUAGAGUUAUUUAGUGAAGUUGAGGUUAAAUCCUGUAGAGGUGCAGGUCAUGAUUUUUUACACCUUUUGACCCGGGUGUUUUCCACGUUAAAAUCAUUGUGUUCUUUACUUUCUGUACUACUUCCUUGGAACACGUAUGUGGAAUACGUAAGGCAACCCAUUCCAUCGAUAAGCAAGAGUUAGGCGAAAAUAAGAUAAUCAGUAGGGCACGAACUCAAUAGUUAGUUGAGAAAAUACUAAUAGGAGUAGUAGAUUAUAAGAGAAGGAAGAGGGACGCUGGACCCUUUUGAUGUUAGCAGGCUGGGUUGGAUGUGAACACAUACGAAUAGCUAUUAGUCGCUCCUCUGAAUUGGACCAAGAUGGAGUCAAAUCAUGACUCCAAAUGCGCUCUCGAGUGCACAUGUAAAAAUAGAGCAAGGAAAAAUAAAGAUUAGCAUGAAACUUCAAGUUUUAGCAUGUUAUUAAAGUGUAAAGAAAAGACAAUAAUCGUGUGAAUAACAUUACGGUCCUAAAAGUAAUCUAGAACUUUGAGACACAAUAUAAAUUUAAGUCCACAAUCACAAAGUCGUUAGGCCCUUCAAAUCAAGUUAGUUGUCCAAGACCUUUUCACAAAAUGAAAACAAUCAUUGACGUCCAACUACUUAUUGCAAGCUUGAGCUGUUAUAAAAUUAAGGGUAAAACAAACUAUAAGAAGGUAGUUUACUUAUUAAAGUAAGAAAAUUACAAGCCAUAUAUACUUUCAGAUUGAUAAAAAGUCAAAUUAUAGAAUUUAAGAACACUCUCAUAUGACUUCAUUUGUUGAGGAAACACAAAGUAUGUUCUUUAACAGAAAAAAAGGGGUGAAGCUAAUGGUUUCAUUCUGAGAUCACCUUAAUCAAGCUUCCAACGUGAAUUUUACACAAAGCUUGAUGCAAUAUUUCUUUAUUUUUUUUAAAAUCUUUAAUGAAAAUGUGUAAAACAUCCACAAGUACGGGUUCGUACUUUAGACGGAGGGAGACUAGAUAACAUAGAGAUAUUAAAAAUACGAAUCAAAUUACCAGAGGCCAAGCUGUGACAUCUUCGAGCCAAUAUUACGUUAAAGAAUACUCAUAUUUUCACAUGAAUAUCAAACAGAUAAGAGAGGGAAAUAAACAGCCUAUUUGAAGUACGAACCAAUCGAGAUGAAGAAAUGAUGAACAAAGAAAAUAAGGAGAGAUUCAGACCUUGUGCUGUGCAGCAAAACUGAGGCUUUCUGUCGAGAAUUCUCUGGCUACCAAAUUCAAACUCGGGAACUCAAAAUUCGGACCGAAAUUGAGGAUUAAACAAAGUGAUUUUCACCAUAUUUUGUUGCGAGGUUUUCAAACAUUAGACUAUUUUUUUUUUCAUUUUUUCCUUACCAAAGAUAACAGCCUCCUCUCAAGAGUGAAAAAAAUAUGACUAUUUAUAGGAAAUCCAGACUUGAAAGUCCGAAUUUUAUAUCAAAAAUCAAAGAGGCCAACGAGCAAAUAAAGGGAAGGAAAUUGAAAUUUCAAAAAUUAAAAGACACAAAUCCCUCCUCAAAUUUGGACGACUCUCGAGCCUUUAAUGUGAAUUUUACAUUGUAUCACCAUUUUAGGUCUGAAUUUAUUGUUAACGGCGAAAUCACGGGUUAGGGGAGAUGAAAUUUGGAUGAAUCUUCACAGGGGUACGACAGAGGUGACAUAACUAUGGAGGUUUAGGGUUUCUUGUUUGGUGAUUGUAGUGGAGAGGGAGAAGGAGAGCAGAAGAAGGAAGGGGCAGUUGUUGUUGCCCUUUUUGGUAAGAAAGAUGAGAUGUGUACGUGUGAUUUGUGUAGUGGAAAGAGUAAUCACUCGUACUGUGCUUUAAG